AUUUAACAUUGCAACUAGACAUGAAAAAUAUUUUCAUGAAAACUAUUUUCCUUAUACAAGUUAUUAGGCUUAAUAUGUAAACUUUGUCGGAGCACCAUCAACCCAAAUAGUCAAGACAGUUCUAUUGUAGUCAAAACAAAAUAAAAACUAAUAACAUUGCACGUACCCAGCACAUUGUCCGAAUAAAAAAUUGUGCAGUUCCCAUUUCAGAAACUGUAUGAGAAUGACUUUGGAAAAAU
rnacentral:misc_RNA from 1 species